rnacentral:rRNA from 1 species
AGUGAACGCUGGCGGUAGGCCUAACACAUGCAAGUCGAACGGCAGCACAGGAGAGCUUGCUCUCUGGGUGGCGAGUGGCGGACGGGUGAGGAAUACAUCGGAAUCUACUCUGUCGUGGGGGAUAACGUAGGGAAACUUACGCUAAUACCGCAUACGACCUACGGGUGAAAGCAGGGGAUCUUCGGACCUUGCGCGAUUGAAUGAGCCGAUAUCGGAUUAGCUAGUUGGCGGGGUAAAGGCCCACCAAGGCGACGAUCCGUAGCUGGUCUGAGAGGAUGAUCAGCCACACUGGAACUGAGACACGGUCCAGACUCCUACGGGAGGCAGCAGUGGGGAAUAUUGGACAAUGGGCGCAAGCCUGAUCCAGCCAUACCGCGUGGGUGAAGAAGGCCUUCGGGUUGUAAAGCCCUUUUGUUGGGAAAGAAAUCCAGCUGGCUAAUACCCGGUUGGGAUGACGGUACCCAAAGAAUAAGCACCGGCUAACUUCGUGCCAGCCACCGCCGUAA